rnacentral:rRNA from 1 species
GACGAACGCUGGCGGCGUGCUUAACACAUGCAAGUCGAACGGAAAGGCCUGCUUUCCCUUGUGGAUUGCGGGUACUCGAGUGGCGAACGGGUGAGUAACACGUGAGUGAUCUGCCCCCAACUUGGGUAUAAGCCUGGGAAACUGGGUCUAAUUCCCGAUAGGACUGCAGGGUGGUGCCUGUGGUGGAAAACGAUUUUCUAGUGGUUGGGGAUGAGCUCGCGGCCUAUCAGCUUGUUGGUGGGGUAAUGGCCUACCAAGGCGGCGACGGGUAGCCGGCCUGGGAGGGUGGACGGCCACAUUGGGACUGAGAUACGGCCCAGACUCCUACGGGAGGCAGCAGUGGGGAAGAUUGCACAAGGGGCGGAAGCCUGAUGCAGCGACGCCGCGUGGGGGAUGACGGCCUUCGGGUUGUAAACUCCUUUCGACCGCGAGGAAGCCACCUGGUUGGAAGGGUGGUGACGGUAGUGGUAGAAGAAGCACCGGCUAACUACGUG